rnacentral:rRNA from 1 species
GAUGAACGCUGGCGGCGUGCCUAAUACAUGCAAGUCGAGCGAACGGACGAGAAGCUUGCUUCUCUGAUGUUAGCGGCGGACGGGUGAGUAACACGUGGAUAACCUACCUAUAAGACUGGGAUAACUUCGGGAAACCGGAGCUAAUACCGGAUAAUAUUUUGAACCGCAUGGUUCAAAAGUGAAAGACGGUCUUGCUGUCACUUAUAGAUGGAUCCGCGCUGCAUUAGCUAGUUGGUAAGGUAACGGCUUACCAAGGCAACGAUGCAUAGCCGACCUGAGAGGGUGAUCGGCCACACUGGAACUGAGACACGGUCCAGACUCCUACGGGAGGCAGCAGUAGGGAAUCUUCCGCAGUGGGCGAAAGCCUGACGGAGCAACGCCGCGUGAGUGAUGAGGGUCUUCGGAUCGUAAAACUCUGUUAUUAGGGAAGAACAUAUGUGUAAGUAACUGUGCACAUCUUGACGGUACCUAAUCAGAAAGCCACGGCUAACUACGUGCCAGCAGCCGCGGUAAUACGUAGGUGGCAAGCGUUAUCCGGAAUUAUUGGGCGUAAAGCGCGCGUAGGCGGUUUUUUAAGUCUGAUGUGAAAGCCCACGGCUCAACCGUGGAGGGUCAUUGGAAACUGGAAAACUUGAGUGCAGAAGAGGAAAGUGGAAUUCCAUGUGUAGCGGUGAAAUGCGCAGAGAUAUGGAGGAACACCAGUGGCGAAGGCGACUUUCUGGUCUGUAACUGACGCUGAUGUGCGAAAGCGUGGGGAUCAAACAGGAUUAGAUACCCUGGUAGUCCACGCCGUAAACGAUGAGUGCUAAGUGUUAGGGGGUUUCCGCCCCUUAGUGCUGCAGCUAACGCAUUAAGCACUCCGCCUGGAGAGUACGACCGCAAGGUUGAAACUCAAAGGAAUUGACGGGGACCCGCACAAGCGGUGGAGCAUGUGGUUUAAUUCGAAGCAACGCGAAGAACCUUACCAAAUCUUGACAUCCUUUGACCGCUCUAGAGAUAGAGUUUUCCCCUUCGGGGGACAAAGUGACAGGUGGUGCAUGGUUGUCGUCAGCUCGUGUCGUGAGAUGUUGGGUUAAGUCCCGCAACGAGCGCAACCCUUAAGCUUAGUUGCCAUCACUAAGUUGGGCACUCUAAGUUGACUGCCGGUGACAAACCGGAGGAAGGUGGGGAUGACGUCAAAUCAUCAUGCCCCUUAUGAUUUGGGCUACACACGUGCUACAAUGGACAAUACAAAGGGCAGCGAAACCGUGAGGUCAAGCAAAUCCCAUAAAGUUGUUCUCAGUUCGGAUUGUAGUCUGCAACUCGACUACAUGAAGCUGGAAUCGCUAGUAAUCGUAGAUCAGCAUGCUACGGUGAAUACGUUCCCGGGUCU